GGUUAAGCGACUAAGCGUACACGGUGGAUGCCCUGGCAGUCAGAGGCGAUGAAGGACGUGCUAAUCUGCGAAAAGCGUCGGUAAGGUGAUAUGAACCGUUAUAACCGGCGAUGUCCGAAUGGGGAAACCCAGUGUGAUUCGUCACACUAUCGUUAACUGAAUACAUAGGUUAACGAGGCGAACCGGGGGAACUGAAACAUCUAAGUACCCCGAGGAAAAGAAAUCAACCGAGAUUCCCCCAGUAGCGGCGAGCGAACGGGGAGCAGCCCAGAGUCUGAAUCAGCUUGUGUGUUAGUGGAACGGUCUGGAAAGUCCGACGGUACAGGGUGAUAGUCCCGUACACCAAAAUGCACAGGUUGUGAACUCGAAGAGUAGGGCGGGACACGUGGUAUCCUGUCUGAAUAUGGGGGGACCAUCCUCCAAGGCUAAAUACUCCUGACUGACCGAUAGUGAACCAGUACCGUGAGGGAAAGGCGAAAAGAACCCCGGCGAGGGGAGUGAAAAAGAACCUGAAACCGUGUACGUACAAGCAGUGGGAGCACCUUCGGGUGUGACUGCGUACCUUUUGUAUAAUGGGUCAGCGACUUAUAUUCUGUAGCAAGGUUAACCGUAUAGGGGAGCCGCAGGGAAACCGAGUCUUAACUGGGCGUUAAGUUGCAGGGUAUAGACCCGAAACCCGGUGAUCUAGCCAUGGGCAGGUUGAAGGUUGGGUAACACUAACUGGAGGACCGAACCGACUAAUGUUGAAAAAUUAGCGGAUGACUUGUGGCUGGGGGUGAAAGGCCAAUCAAACCGGGAGAUAGCUGGUUCUCCCCGAAAGCUAUUUAGGUAGCGCCUCGUGAACUCAUCUUCGGGGGUAGAGCACUGUUUCGGCUAGGGGGUCAUCCCGACUUACCAACCCGAUGCAAACUACGAAUACCGAAGAAUGUUAUCACGGGAGACACACGGCGGGUGCUAACGUCCGUCGUGAAGAGGGAAACAACCCAGACCGCCAGCUAAGGUCCCAAAGUCAUGGUUAAGUGGGAAACGAUGUGGGAAGGCACAGACAGCCAGGAUGUUGGCUUAGAAGCAGCCAUCAUUUAAAGAAAGCGUAAUAGCUCACUGGUCGAGUCGGCCUGCGCGGAAGAUGUAACGGGGCUAAACCAUGCACCGAAGCUGCGGCAGCGACACUAUGUGUUGUUGGGUAGGGGAGCGUUCUGUAAGCCUGCGAAGGUGACCUGUGAGGGUUGCUGGAGGUAUCAGAAGUGCGAAUGCUGACAUAAGUAACGAUAAAGCGGGUGAAAAGCCCGCUCGCCGGAAGACCAAGGGUUCCUGUCCAACGUUAAUCGGGGCAGGGUGAGUCGACCCCUAAGGCGAGGCCGAAAGGCGUAGUCGAUGGGAAACAGGUUAAUAUUCCUGUACUUGGUGUUACUGCGAAGGGGGACGGAGAAGGCUAUGUUAGCCGGGCGACGGUUGUCCCGGUUUAAGCAUGUAGGCUGGUUGUCCAGGCAAAUCCGGAUAAUCAAGGCUGAGGUGUGAUGACGAGGCACUACGGUGCUGAAGUAACAAAUGCCCUGCUUCCAGGAAAAGCCUCUAAGCAUCAGGUAACAUCAAAUCGUACCCCAAACCGACACAGGUGGUCAGGUAGAGAAUACCAAGGCGCUUGAGAGAACUCGGGUGAAGGAACUAGGCAAAAUGGUGCCGUAACUUCGGGAGAAGGCACGCUGGUGUGUAGGUGAAGUCCCUGCGGAUGGAGCUGAGACCAGUCGAAGAUACCAGCUGGCUGCAACUGUUUAUUAAAAACACAGCACUGUGCAAACACGAAAGUGGACGUAUACGGUGUGACGCCUGCCCGGUGCCGGAAGGUUAAUUGAUGGGGUUAUCCGUAAGGAGAAGCUCUUGAUCGAAGCCCCGGUAAACGGCGGCCGUAACUAUAACGGUCCUAAGGUAGCGAAAUUCCUUGUCGGGUAAGUUCCGACCUGCACGAAUGGCGUAAUGAUGGCCAGGCUGUCUCCACCCGAGACUCAGUGAAAUUGAACUCGCUGUGAAGAUGCAGUGUACCCGCGGCAAGACGGAAAGACCCCGUGAACCUUUACUAUAGCUUGACACUGAACAUUGAGCCUUGAUGUGUAGGAUAGGUGGGAGGCUUUGAAGCGUGGACGCCAGUCUGCGUGGAGCCAACCUUGAAAUACCACCCUUUAAUGUUUGAUGUUCUAACGUUGGCCCCUGACCGGGGUUGCGGACAGUGUCUGGUGGGUAGUUUGACUGGGGCGGUCUCCUCCCAAAGCGUAACGGAGGAGCACGAAGGUUAGCUAAUCCUGGUCGGACAUCAGGAGGUUAGUGCAAUGGCAUAAGCUAGCUUGACUGCGAGCGUGACGGCGCGAGCAGGUGCGAAAGCAGGUCAUAGUGAUCCGGUGGUUCUGAAUGGAAGGGCCAUCGCUCAACGGAUAAAAGGUACUCCGGGGAUAACAGGCUGAUACCGCCCAAGAGUUCAUAUCGACGGCGGUGUUUGGCACCUCGAUGUCGGCUCAUCACAUCCUGGGGCUGAAGUAGGUCCCAAGGGUAUGGCUGUUCGCCAUUUAAAGUGGUACGCGAGCUGGGUUUAGAACGUCGUGAGACAGUUCGGUCCCUAUCUGCCGUGGGCGCUGGAGAAUUGAGGGGGCUGCUCCUAGUACGAGAGGACCGGAGUGGACGCAUCACUGGUGUUCGGGUUGUCAUGCCAAUGGCACUGCCCGGUAGCUAAAUGCGGAAGAGAUAAGUGCUGAAAGCAUCUAAGCACGAAACUUGCCCCGAGAUGAGUUCUCCCUGAGACUUUAAGUCUCCUGAAGGAACGUUAAAGACGAUGACGUUGAUAGGCCGGGUGUGUAAGCGCAGCGAUGCGUUGAGCUAACCGGUACUAAUGAACCGUGAGGCUUAACCUU
rnacentral:rRNA from 1 species